rnacentral:rRNA from 1 species
CGGCGGACGGGUGAGUAACACGUGGGUAACCUACCUAUAAGACUGGGAUAACUUCGGGAAACCGGAGCUAAUACCGGAUAAUAUUUCGAACCGCAUGGUUCGAUAGUGAAAGAUGGUUUUGCUAUCACUUAUAGAUGGACCUGCGCCGUAUUAGCUAGUUGGUAAGGUAACGGCUUACCAAGGCGACGAUACGUAGCCGACCUGAGAGGGUGAUCGGCCACACUGGAACUGAGACACGGUCCAGACUCCUACGGGAGGCAGCAGUG